rnacentral:rRNA from 1 species
UAUUCCUGUACCACGUUGAAUCCAUUAUGACCGAUGGGGGGACGGGGAAGGGUAAGGGAACCCAGGCGAUGGUUGUCCUGGGGCAAGUACGUAGCUAGUCGAAAUAGGUAAAUCCGUUUCGGCGUUAUGACGCGAGGUGCGAUGCCAGCUGGAUUUAGUUCCGGCCAGUCUCUGAGCCCAUGCCUCCAAGAAAAGCCUCUAGGCAGGAUUCAUGUGCCCGUACCGAUAACCGACACAGGUGGACAAGUAGAAGAUACUAAGGUGAGCGAGAUAACCCUCGUUAAGGAACUCGGCAAAAUCGCCCCGUAACUUCGGGAGAAGGGGCGCCCCGUUAGAGUGAAGUCCAUACGGAUGGAGCUCGAGGGGGCCGCAGUGAAUUGGUCCAAGCGACUGUUUACCAAAAACACAGGCCUCUGCUAAGUCGUAAGACGACGUAUAGGGGCUGACGCCUGCCCGGUGCUGGAAGGUUACGCGGACCUGUUAGCUCUUCGGAGCGAAGCAGUGAAGCUAAGCCCCAGUAAACGGCGGCCGUAACUAUAACGGUCCUAAGGUAGCGAAAUUCCUUGUCGGGUAAGUUCCGACCUGCACGAAUGGCGUAACGACUUGGACGCUGUCUCAACGAGGGACUCGGUGAAAUUGGAGUCUCGGUGAAGAUACCGAGUACCCGCAUCAAGACGGAAAGACCCCGUGAACCUUUACUGCAACUUGAUAUUGGAGUUUGGUGUGUUCUGUUCAGGAUAGGUGGGAGACUGUGAACCAGCGGCUGCGGCUGCUGGGGAGUCAACCUUGAGAUACCACCCUUGACAUACCGGGCUUCUAACACUGCGCCGUAAUCCGGGCAGUGAACAGUGUCAGGCGGGCAGUUUGACUGGGGCGGUCGCCUCCUAAAAUGUAACGGAGGCGCCCAAAGGUUCCCUCAGUACGGUUGGAAACCGUGCGUAGAGUGUAAAGGCAAUAAGGGAGCUUGACUGCGAGACCGACGGGUCGAGCAGGUACGAAAGUAGGGCUUAGUGAUCCGGCGGUUGCAAGUGGAAGCGCCGUCGCUCAACGGAUAAAAGGUACUCCGGGGAUAACAGGCUUAUCGCUUCCAAGAGUCCAUAUCGACGAAGCGGUUUGGCACCUCGAUGUCAGCUCGUCGCAUCCUGGGGCGGUAGUACGUCCCAAGGGUUGGGCUGUUCGCCCAUUAAAGCGGCACGCGAGCUGGGUUCAGAACGUCGUGAGACAGUUCGGUCCCUAUUUGAUGUGGGCGCUGGAGAAUUGAGAGGAUUUGUCCCUAGUACGAGAGGACCGGGAUGAACGAACCUCUGGUGUAGCUGUUGUCCUGCCAAGGGCAUCGCAGCUUAGCUACGUUCGGAACGGAUAACCGCUGAAGGCAUCUAAGCGGGAAGCCGUCCUCGAGAUGAAUUCUCCCAUCCCUUCGAGGGAGUAAGACCCCUGGUAGACCACCAGGUUGAUAGGCCAGCGGUGGAAGGGUAGUAAUACC